GACGAACGCUGGCGGCGUGCCUAAUACAUGCAAGUAGAACGCUGAAGGAGGAGCUUGCUUCUCUGGAUGAGUUGCGAACGGGUGAGUAACGCGUAGGUAACCUGCCUUGUAGCGGGGGAUAACUAUUGGAAACGAUAGCUAAUACCGCAUAACAAUGGAUGACACAUGUCAUUUAUUUGAAAGGGGCAAUUGCUCCACUACAAGAUGGACCUGCGUUGUAUUAGCUAGUAGGUGAGGUAACGGCUCACCUAGGCGACGAUACAUAGCCGACCUGAGAGGGUGAUCGGCCACACUGGGACUGAGACACGGCCCAGACUCCUACGGGAGGCAGCAGUAGGGAAUCUUCGGCAAUGGGGGCAACCCUGACCGAGCAAUGCCGCGUGAGUGAAGAAGGUUUUCGGAUCGUAAAGCUCUGUUGUAAGUCAAGAACGAGUGUGAGAGUGGAAAGUUCACACUGUGACGGUAGCUUACCAGAAAGGGACGGCUAACUACGUGCCAGCAGCCGCGGUAAUACGUAGGUCCCGAGCGUUGUCCGGAUUUAUUGGGCGUAAAGCGAGCGCAGGCGGUUUGAUAAGUCUGAAGUUAAAGGCUGUGGCUCAACCAUAGUUCGCUUUGGAAACUGUCAAACUUGAGUGCAGAAGGGGAGAGUGGAAUUCCAUGUGUAGCGGUGAAAUGCGUAGAUAUAUGGAGGAACACCGGUGGCGAAAGCGGCUCUCUGGUCUGUAACUGACGCUGAGGCUCGAAAGCGUGGGGAGCGAACAGG
rnacentral:rRNA from 1 species